GUCAAAAGAAGGAGCAAAACCAAUGGCAUUUUCAGAAAAUAAUAAAAAGUUCAAUGUGAAUGAGGAAAGACAAGCGCUCGAAUGUGAAGACUACUUUAGAACAGCAAGGGUAACUUUUAACCUGCAGCGGAAAGCCGUGGAUGGGCUGUCAACACAGGAGUGAAGGAUCAGAUGAAGUUUGCACAGUUUCUCUGGGUAUAGCUCGGGGCUAUCACAAACCACAUAGGGAAUACCCGUGCUGGAAGAAGCCAGAGGGUGGAGGAGCAACAGCUACAAGGAGACAGAGAAAAAGCACUUUGGAGACUCCUGCAGCCCAACUGUCACAGAGGAGAUUCCAAAAGCAUCUGGAAGUGCUAGCAGAUGUGAAGAGCCUUCCAGGUUGGGACAAGGAGGAGAAAGAGUGUGUUACAACUAGAGGCCAUGGUGAAUCAGCAAGCAGAUGAUACAGACCCAGUAGGAACAGGGUUGUGACUGAGACCUGGCAGAAUGAGAUACACCUUAGUGGUGCCCCGUAAGAACACGUAAUGGGCUAGGACUCAGGCCCACCUCCUUGCACAACCCGCCUCCACUCCAGCCAGGAGCCACCAUAGACUUCUGCACCUUGAUGCUGCCCCAGAGGAAGAGAAGAAAUUAUAUGUUGGUUCCCAAUCCUUUCCUUCCCAUGAGGCAUCCAGGGCUGCCAAGCUUGGCUAGGCAAGGGCCAAAGAGGCAGCCAGGGCUGGAGAGGAGACCAUGGCUGUUGAGACACACGAGACCCCGGCCAAGAAGUUGAUGGAGACCAAGGGAGUAACCGGACUUGCG
rnacentral:lncRNA from 1 species